rnacentral:rRNA from 1 species
AACGCGAAGAACCUUACCAGGCUUUGACAUGCCCUCUACGGGACCCAGAAAUGGGCUCCAUCACCUCGGGUGGGAGGAGCACAGGUGCUGCAUGGCUGUCGUCAGCUCGUGUCGUGAGAUGUUGGGUUAAGUCCCGCAACGAGCGCAACCCUCGUCCUCUGUUGCCAACAGGUAAUGCUGGGAACUCUGAGGAAACUGCCGGUGAUAAGCCGGAGGAAGGUGGGGAUGACGUCAAGUCCUCAUGGCCCUUACAGCCUGGGCUACACACGUGUUACAAUGGCAGUGACAAUGCGCUGCGAACCUGCAAGGGUAAGCGAAUCGCAAAAAGCUGCCUCAGUUCGGAUUGUACUCUGCAACCCGAGUACACGAAGCUGGAAUCGCUAGUAAUCGCGCAUCAUCGCGGCGCGGUGAAUACGUUCCGCGGGUCUGUACACACCG